rnacentral:lncRNA from 1 species
CAAUGAUGGGAUAGUAGGAAGAGAGUUUAGCCAAGUGGGUGAAUCUCUGUGCUCUACUUCUAACUGUUUAAUUCAAAGGCCUUCACAACCACAAAUAGAUGUGAAGAUCACUGACGAAGCUGGAACUAAUAACUGGCUGGAAUGGCAAUGCCCAGGGUGGCUCUCUACUUACAUAUUGAAGAGAGUGGGGUCUGCAUCAUCCUAGGUCACUGAAUCACUGUGGAACAAAGCCUACUACUCCAGCCUCCACCUUGUGUCAAGCCCAACCAAACUGAAGCCACUUUGGACUCCUUUGUGAGUAAAGGAUAAACAUUUAUUGUAUGGGGCCGUCAUUUGAGCUGAUUAUUAAGAACAAUUCAGUGCACUCUAAAGUACCUA